rnacentral:rRNA from 1 species
UACGUAGGGUGCAAGCGUUGUCCGGAUUUAUUGGGUUUAAAGGGUGCGUAGGCGGCUAAUUAAGUCAGCGGUGAAAUUCCACAGCUCAACUGUGGAACUGCCAUUGAUACUGGUUGGCUUGAGUACAGAUGAGGUAGGCGGAAUUGACAGUGUAGCGGUGAAAUGGCUUAGAUAUUGUCAAGAACACCUAUUGCGAAGGCAGCUUACUAGCUGUACUGACGCUGAGGCACGAAAGCGUGGGGAUCAAACAGG